rnacentral:lncRNA from 1 species
GAUAUUUUAGAAAUAACAUUAAAUGCCUACUUUAUUAGCUGAUGGAAAAAUGAUUUAACCAUCUCUUAGGAGCCUAUUCUUUUAUGGGUAAAUAUCAUAAAAAAGCUGAUUAACUUUUCUAUUGACCAACUUACUUAUAUUCUCAUAUUUUUUAAGAUAAGUAAGUUACUUUCUCAUAAAUAACAUUUAUUCAUAAAAUAAAAAAAAUCUUAUCCA